AAAUCCAAUUAAACUUACAGGUUGCAAGAAAAUGCCAUUAAUCCUUAUUGAUGUAUCUUGACCGCCGCCUAGAAGUCCUCGACUUACCACACCAAAAGUCACCUUAUUUCAGUCUGUAGAUCUCUAGAUAUUACAGAAAUCCUAAACAACGUCAAUCUGCUAACUUUCGAUACCUCUAUAUACUAAUGGUCAAAUAUCUUCUAUCUGUU
rnacentral:lncRNA from 1 species